AGAAUCAACGCUGGCGGCGUGCCUAACACAUGCAAGUCGAACGAGAAAGUGGAGCAAUCCAUGAGUAAAGUGGCGCACGGGUGAGUAACACGUGACUAACCUACCUUUUAGUGGGGGAUAACCUAGGGAAACCUGGGCUAAUACCGCAUAAUACUUACGAGUCAAAGCAGCAAUGCGCUGAAAGAGGGGGUCGCGGUCGAUUAGUUAGUUGGCAGGGUAAUGGCCUACCAAGACUGUGAUCGAUAUCCGGCCUGAGAGGGCGCACGGACACACUGGAACUGAAACACGGUCCAGACUCCUACGGGAGGCAGCAGUGGGAAUUUUGCGCAAUGGGGGAAACCCUGACGCAGCAACGCCGCGUGGAGGAUGAAGUCCCUUGGGACGUAAACUCCUUUCGAUCGGGACGAUAAUGACGGUACCGGAAGAAGAAGCCCGGCUAACUUCGUGCCAGCAGCCGC
rnacentral:rRNA from 1 species